rnacentral:lncRNA from 1 species
AUGAAACGACAGCAAAAGAGAAAGCAUGUUGGAAGUGAGGAUUCUGAAGAAACUGAUGAGAAAGGAAGAGGAGCCUCGAGGUCACCAGAUGAUGCUUCUCAGCCAAGGUCACCUGGAGCAUCCAGAACCCAGAGCCCAGGGACAGGGGAGACAUCCUCUGCUUCUGAAUACUUCUCAUGUGUUUCUUCUCCCUCCAAGCUCCCUCGACUCACCUGUGGCAGUAAGAAUAAGGGUCCCGUGGUGUGAGACUGAAUAUUUUUGGGUAUGAGCCUCCUCAGAACUGAGGAUCCUUGUAUACAAGGCAAAGAGAUUCAAGGCUGAGGGUGAGGAAUCCCAGGGCAGCUAGAGGAGGUUGGUGUACUAUGGAGCAGCCCAGGUAGGGUUUGUCGCUCAGGGAACAUGGAUGGGGGCUCGGGGUCCCUGGAAUGACUACAGUGUGGGGAACAGGAACCAGUGCCCAGAAAGGUCUGUCUUUGAAAUGUCAAACUAAGGGACCAGACAAAGUAACUUUUAGAAACUAUGUGAAUUCUGGACUUCCUGAGGACAGAGUUCUUUAGCAGGGCCUUCCAACAUACAGCUGUUACAAGAGCAUUCCAACACUACCCAGCUCAGACCCACGUAUUCACACUUACAGCCGCACACCACACAGAUACACACAUUCUCAAUGCACACGCUGACCCACAACACAAGACGCACAAUGCCAUUCUCAUGCACCAUGUUUCACAUUCCACAAACAACAUGCUGUUCAGGUCACACAAUCCCAUCCACAUAGCACAGGCUUUACCUCUUCCCUGAUUUAUGUGUGGGAUUGCAUAGUAUGUAACUGUUUUGUACUGUCUUCUUUUAGCAGCCUAUUGCACUGAAGAUUCAUUGAUUCCUGAGU